GAAUGUGAGGGUAAUCUGGGUGCAACAUCUGUCACCCGACUGACGGCCAGGGCUGAUUCAUCUGCUCUUCCGUCUCCCGAAGCUGCACAGUCAGCCAGUCCUCAGUUGAUGAUGGAAGAGGACAACCUUCCCCAGUAGAGAGAACUUGUCCUUGGCGGAGGGCAGUUGAGUAGCUGCGUUCCUCUGAUAGAACCUCCAAACAAGCUCUCAAUUACCCUCUGAUUUUUUGAGGCAGAGUCUCUCACUGAACCUAGAAGCACACGGUUUGCCUA
rnacentral:snRNA from 1 species